AAUUAUGGUGGGCUGAUGAGGCUGACUUCGGUCAGGCCGUCUUCUUGAGUGCGGCAGUUCGAACCUCUCAGCUCACCACCAAA
rnacentral:antisense_RNA from 2 species